rnacentral:tRNA from 1 species
GCCUGGCUAGCUCAGUCGGUAGAGCAUGAGACUCUUAAUCUCAGGAUCGUGGGUUCGAGCCUCACGUUGGGCG